GCCAGUGUGGCAUAGUGGUUUGAGUGUUGGACUAGGUCUCUGAAGACCAGGGAUCAAUUCCCAGCUCAGCCA